rnacentral:rRNA from 1 species
UGCCAGACUCCUACGGGAGGCAGCAGUGAGGAAUAUUGGUCAAUGGACGGAAGUCUGAACCAGCCAUGCCGCGUGCAGGAAGACGGCUCUAUGAGUUGUAAACUGCUUUUGUACAAGGGUAAACCUGAAUACGUGUAUUCAGCUGAAAGUACUGUACGAAUAAGGAUCGGCUAACUCCGUGCCAGCAGCCGCGGUAAUACGGAGGAUCCAAGCGUUAUCCGGAUUUAUUGGGUUUAAAGGGUGCGUAGGCGGAUUGAUAAGUUAGAGGUGAAAUGUCCGAGCUCAACUCGGGAACUGCCUCUAAUACUGUUGAUCUAGAGAGUAGAUGCGGUAGGCGGAAUGUAUGGUGUAGCGGUGAAAUGCUUAGAGAUCAUACAGAACACCGAUUGCGAAGGCAGCAUGCCGGCUCCACACUGACGCUGAGGCACGAAAGCGUGGGUAUCGAACAGGAUUAGAUACCCGAGUA